rfam:Gossypium hirsutum cultivar TM-1 chromosome 1, whole genome shotgun sequence
AACCCAUGGUGGGGGCAUCUUCCCAAAAAGACCUUGUAUCUCUCCCAUGCAUCGUAGAGUGUUUCUAAAUCCAUCUGCACAAAAGAAGAGAUAUCAUUAUAUAAUU